rnacentral:rRNA from 1 species
UACGGAGGUGGCAAGCGUUGCUCGGAAUCACUGGGCGUAAAGGGCGCGUAGGCGGGGAGGUAAGUCGGGUGUGAAAGCCCUCGGCUCAACCGAGGAACUGCAUCCGAUACUGGCGGGCUUGAAUCCGGGAGAGGGAUGUGGAAUUCCAGGUGUAGCGGUGAAAUGCGUAGAUAUCGGGAGGAACACCAGUGGCGAAGGCGACUACCUGGCCUGUUCUUGACGCUGAGGCGCGAAAGCUAGGGGAGCAAACGGGG